CUCAACUUAAAUUCUUAAUUCCAAAUAGAGAAAUAAAAUUUAAACAAUGGACAAGAGGUAUGCAUAACUGGGACAUCUUGGUAAGGCUUGGCUAAUCACUGUCUUGGUUCUUCAAGGUCACCCAAAGAACACCCUAUUGUCUGAAGGGGCUGCUUCUGUUGUGGCUGGAAUCAAAGACUGGGACAACGACAUCUCUGCUUUAACAAGUUCAUGUAAAGAACCACGUACCAUCCAAAGGCCCGGGGAAGAAAUUACAGGGUCUCACUAUGUAGCCCUGUCCAUCCUGGAACUUGCUACAUAAACAUAAAAGACUGGCUUCAAACUCACAGAGAUUCACCUGACUGCCUCCAAACUGCUGGGAUUAGAGGCGUGUCCCCCAACAUGCCUGCUGAUAAAUUCGUCAGAAAGUAUAUCCUAAAGUGAACCAUUCAUCUCACCUGCUAUGCAAGACUUCAACUGUGAUGGUGACACAGAUGGAAAAUGGACUGGAGCUUUACUGACAGUCAGUGGUUCUAGGUCAGCCUCGGUAUGCAGGAUUCACAAAGUGAAGUUGGAGAAGGAGAACUGAAGUCUAAGAACUUGCAGGUGAACAGGGAAAAUUACAUUUGAAAGGAAGCGAAACCACACAAGCCCUAGAUGCACCAUUGGUAAAUUCCUCAACUUCCAAAGAAGGAUUUCACUGUGUGGACUCUUGUGGAUGGAACAGAG
rnacentral:lncRNA from 1 species